AACGAACGCUGGCGGCAUGCCUAACACAUGCAAGUCGAACGAGACCUUCGGGUCUAGUGGCGCACGGGUGCGUAACGCGUGGGAACCUGCCCUUAGGUUCGGAAUAACUCCCCGAAAGGGGUGCUAAUACCGCAUAAUGUCUUCGGACCAAGGAUUUAUCGCCUUUGGAUGGGCCCGCGUUGGAUUAGCUAGUUGGUAGGGUAAAAGCCUACCAAGGCGACGAUCCAUAGCUGGUCUGAGAGGAUGAUCAGCCACACUGGGACUGAGACACGGCCCAGACUCCUACGGGAGGCAGCAGUGGGGAAUAUUGGACAAUGGGCGAAAGCCUGAUCCAGCAAUGCCGCGUGAGUGAUGAAGGCCUUAGGGUUGUAAAGCUCUUUUACCCGGGAUGAUAAUGACAGUACCGGGAGAAUAAGCUCCGGCUAACUCCGUG
rnacentral:rRNA from 1 species